UUUGCUGUUUUUUUUUUUAAUAGAAUCCUUAGGAUUUUCUACAUAAAGAAUCAUGUCUUUGCAAAUAAAGACAAUUUUACAACCUCUUUCUCAAUCUGGAUGCCUCCAAUUUUAUUCAUCUAUUAUGUAUCUUGACCUCAAGAUGCCAUUUUUAAGCUUCAAGAGACAGCUGGAGAGAUCAGACCCCCUCCACUGGGUCCCCAUCAGACACAGUGGAAAAGAGGAAACGAGAUGGCAGGGAUCUAAAGAUUUCUCUCAGGGCCCUACUGGACACAAGGCCAGGGCUCACAUGACUGAACGCUGGAAGGGUACAAAGUCCUGGAAAGUGCCCUGCUCAGAAGAACAGAUCUGGAGAGACCAGAGACAAUUGUCAAACUUAGAGUAGAGAACUAGGGCACAGAGCUGACAAGAUAAGAAUGAGCUAAGAUGGUGGGAUCGAAGGACAAAGCUGGGAAUAUGGCUUGCUUUUAUGGGCUGGAAGGAGCAAGAUAUAUGCAACUCAGCUGCUCUUAUGGAAUCCAGAUUUGGAUGGGAAGUUGGCUGCAGAAUUCUCAAGAGAUGGUAAGUGACUUUCGCAGGAUCAUGUGGCCCAUUAGCAGUCCAAAUCCAUCAACUACAUCAUAACUUAGGGAAAAGUCUCCUUGAAAUUAAUGUGAUCAUGUUAAAGAGUUCUAGCACUAAAAGGACCUAACUUUGCUAAUAAAGAAAAAUAAUUUUUGUGAACCUCA
rnacentral:lncRNA from 1 species